AUUGAACGCCGGCGGCGUGCUUUACACAUGCAAGUCGAACGGCAUCACGAGUGCUUGCACUUGGUGGCGAGUGGCGAACGGGUGAGUAAUACAUCGAAACGUACCGUAUAGAGGGGGAUAACCAAUCGAAAGAUUGGCUAAUACCGCAUAAUCUCUGAGGAGGCAAGGUGGGGACCUGAGAGGGCCUAUCGCUGUAUGAGCGGUCGAUGGGUGAUUAGCUAGGUGGUGGGGUAAAGGCUUACCAAGGCGAUGAUCGAUAGCUGUUAUGAGAGGAAGAUCAGACACACUGGGACUGAGACACGGCCCAGACUCCUACGGGAGGGAGCAGUGGGGAAUAUUUGACAAUGGGGGGAACCCUGAUCCAGCAACGCCGCGUGAAUGAAGAAGGCCUUCGGGUUGUAAAGUUCUUUUGUCUGGGAGCAAAUCUGUGCUGUGAAUAGCGGGAUAGGAUGAGAGUACCAGAAGAAUAAGCACCGGCUAACUACGUGCCAGCAGCCGCAGUAA
rnacentral:rRNA from 1 species